rnacentral:tRNA from 1 species
GCCUGGGUGGCUCAGUCGGUUAAGCGUCUGACUUCGGCUCAGGUCAUGAUCUCGCGGUCCGUGGGUUCGAGCCCCGCAUCAGGCU